AGGACGAACGCUGGCGGCGUGCCUAACACAUGCAAGUCGAACGCGCUCCAUUCGGUAGCAAUACUGAUGAAGAGCGAGUGGCGAACGGGUGAGUAGCACGUGAGCAACCUGCCCCGAAGACUGGGACAACACCGGGAAACCGGUGCUAAUACCGGAUACCCCCACCGGAUCGCAUGAUCUGGUGAGGAAAUGUUUUUCGCUUCGGGAGGGGCUCGCGGCCUAUCAGCUAGUUGGUGGGGUAAUGGCCUACCAAGGCAUCGACGGGUAGCUGGUCUGAGAGGACGAUCAGCCACACUGGGACUGAGACACGGCCCAGACUCCUACGGGAGGCAGCAGUGGGGAAUCUUGCGCAAUGGGCGAAAGCCUGACGCAGCAACGCCGCGUGGAGGACGAAGGCUUUCUGAGUUGUAAACUCCUUUCAGCAGGGACGAUAGUGACGGUACCUGCAGAAGAAGCACCGGCCAACUACGCGCCAGCAGCCG
rnacentral:rRNA from 1 species